rnacentral:rRNA from 1 species
AGCGAACGCUGGCGGCAGGCCUAACACAUGCAAGUCGAACGGAUCCUUCGGGAUUAGUGGCGGACGGGUGAGUAACACGUGGGAACGUGCCUUUUGGUUCGGAACAACUCAGGGAAACUUGAGCUAAUACCGGAUAAGCCCUUCGGGGAAGGAUUUAUCGCCAUUAGAGCGGCCCGCGUCUGAUUAGCUAGUUGGUGAGGUAAAGGCUCACCAAGGCUACGAUCAGUAGCUGGUCUGAGAGGAUGAUCAGCCACAUUGGGACUGAGACACGGCCCAAACUCCUACGGGAGGCAGCAGUGGGGAAUCUUGCGCAAUGGGCGAAAGCCUGACGCAGCCAUGCCGCGUGAAUGACGAAGGUCUUA